UGAGUAACACGUAUGCAACCUGCCUGCCACAGCCGGAUAAUCGGGAGAAAUUCCGUCUAAUACGGCAUAAUGCAUCGACGGGACAUCCUGUUGGUGCCAAAGGUUGAUUCCGGUGGCGGAUGGGCAUGCGUCGCAUUAGUUAGUUGGCGGUGUAACGGACCACCAAGACGACGAUGCGUAGGGGUUCUGAGAGGAAGGCCCCCCACACUGGGACUGAGACACGGCCCAGACUCCUACGGGAGGCAGCAG
rnacentral:rRNA from 1 species